UGUCUCAGUCUUAUCACCCUGCAGUCCAAGACCGCUUACUCACUGAAGCUAAGCAACGCUGACCCUGAUCACUACCUGCAUGGGAGACCACCUGGGAAAACUAGGUUGCUGUUGGAA
rnacentral:rRNA from 1 species